UAUCGGACAAUGGGGGCAAGCCUGAUCCAGCCAUCCCGCGUGAAAGCUGAAGGCCUUAGGGUUGUAAAGCUGUUUUAACCCAGCUGAUAAUGACGGUACCGCAAGAAUAAGCUCCGGCUAACUUCGUGCCAGCAGCCGCGGUAAUACGUAGGGAGCAAGCGUUAAUCGGAAUUACUGGGCGUAAAGCGUGCGCAGGCGGUUAUACAAGACAGGCGUGAAAUCCCCGGGCUCAACCUGGGAAUGGCGCCUGUGACUGUAUAGCUAGAGUGUGUCAGAGUGGGGUAGAAUUCCACGUGUAGCAGUGAAAUGCGUAGAUAUUUGGAGGAAUACCAAUGGCGAAGGCAGGCCUCCCUGGGAUAACACUGACGCUCAUGCACGAAA
rnacentral:rRNA from 1 species